rnacentral:rRNA from 1 species
AUGCAAGCCGAGCGGUAUUUGUCUUUCGGGACAGAGAGAGCGGCGUACGGGUGCGGAACACGUGUGCAACCUGCCUUUAUCUGGGGGAUAGCCUUUCGAAAGGAAGAUUAAUACCCCAUAAUAUAUUGACUGGCAUCAGUUGAUAUUGAAAACUCCGGUGGAUAGAGAUGGGCACGCGCAAGAUUAGAUAGUUGGUGAGGUAACGGCUCACCAAGUCUACGAUCUUUAGGGGGCCUGAGAGGGUGAUCCCCCACACUGGUACUGAGACACGGACCAGACUCCUACGGGAGGCAGCAGUGAGGAAUAUUGGACAAUGGGUGCAAGCCUGAUCCAGCCAUCCCGCGUGAAGGAUGACGGCCCUAUGGGUUGUAAACUUCUUUUGUAUAGGGAUAAACCUAGAUACGUGUAUCUAGCUGAAGGUACUAUACGAAUAAGCACCGGCUAACUCCGUGCCAGCAGCCGCGGUAAUACGGAGGGUGCAAGCGUUAUCCGGAUUUAUUGGGUUUAAAGGGUCCGUAGGCUGAUGUGUAAGUCAGUGGUGAAAUCUCACAGCUUAACUGUGAAACUGCCAUUGAUACUGCAUGUCUUGAGUGUUGUUGAAGUAGCUGGAAUAAGUAGUGUAGCGGUGAAAUGCAUAGAUAUUACUUAGAACACCAAUUGCGAAGGCAGGUUACUAAGCAACAACUGACGCUGAUGGACGAAAGCGUGGGGAGCGAACAGGAUUAGAUACCCUGGUAGUCCACGCCGUAAACGAUGCUAACUCGUUUUUGGAUUUUCGGAUUCAGAGACUAAGCGAAAGUGAUAAGUUAGCCACCUGGGGAGUACGUUCGCAAGAAUGAAACUCAAAGGAAUUGACGGGGGCCCGCACAAGC